rnacentral:rRNA from 1 species
CAGUCGAACGAACUUCCGUUAAUUGAUUAUGACGUGCUUGCACUGAAUGAGAUUUUAACACGAAGUGAGUGGCGGACGGGUGAGUAACACGUGGGUAACCUGCCCAGAAGCAGGGGAUAACACCUGGAAACAGAUGCUAAUACCGUAUAACAGAGAAAACCGCCUGGUUUUCUUUUAAAAGAUGGCUCUGCUAUCACUUCUGGAUGGACCCGCGGCGCAUUAGCUAGUUGGUGAGGUAACGGCUCACCAAGGCGAUGAUGCGUAGCCGACCUGAGAGGGUAAUCGGCCACAUUGGGACUGAGACACGGCCCAGACUCCUACGGGAGGCAGCAGUAGGGAAUCUUCCACAAUGGACGCAAGUCUGAUGGAGCAACGCCGCGUGAGUGAAGAAGGGUUUCGGCUCGUAAAGCUCUGUUGUUAAAGAAGAACGUGGGUGAGAGUAACUGUUCACCCAGUGACGGUAUUUAACCAGAAAGCCACGGCUAACUACGUGCCAGCAGCCGCGGUAAUACGUAGGUGGCAAGCGUUAUCCGGAUUUAUUGGGCGUAAAGCGAGCGCAGGCGGUCUUUUAAGUCUAAUGUGAAAGCCUUCGGCUCAACCGAAGAAGUGCAUUGGAAACUGGGAGACUUGAGUGCAGAAGAGGACAGUGGAACUCCAUGUGUAGCGGUGAAAUGCGUAGAUAUAUGGAAGAACACCAGUGGCGAAGGCGGCUGUCUGGUCUGUAACUGACGCUGAGGCUCGAAAGCAUGGGUAGCGAACAGGAUUAGAUACCCUGGUAGUCCAUGCCGUAAACGAUGAUUACUAAGUGUUGGAGGGUUUCCGCCCUUCAGUGCUGCAGCUAACGCAUUAAGU